AGACGCCCGAAGCCGAUUAUCUAACCUUUUGGAAGAAGUCGUCGAAGGUGGAAUCAAUAACUGGGGUGAAGUCGUAACAAGGUAGCCGUAUCGGAAGGUGCGGCUGGAUCACCUCCUUUCUAAGGAGGAAUUGACGGGGACCCGCACAAGUAGCGGAGCAUGUGGUUUAAUUCGAAGCAACGCGAAGAACCUUACCUAAGCUUGACAUCCCAAUGACAUCUCCUUAAUCGGAGAGUUCCCUUCGGGGACAUU
rnacentral:rRNA from 1 species